GCGAAAAAGGUAACGCACAAGUUGGAAGACCCAAUAGUUUUCUAACUUCGCUUCUGGUAAAGCAACAGAGUUGGAACAAGCAGAUAUAUUAUAAUUGGGUCACCGGAAAGCCAAAAAGGUAACGCACAAGUUGGAAGACCCAAUAGUUUUCUAACUUCGCUUCUGGUGAAGCAACGGAGUUGGAACAAGCAGAUAUAUUAUAAUUGGGUCACCGGAAAGCCAAAAAGGUAACGCACAAGUUGGAAGACCCAAUAGUUUUCUAACUUCGCUUCUGGUGAAGCAACGGAGUUGGAACAAGCAGAUAUAUUAUAAUUGGGUCACCGGAAAGCCAAAAAGGUAACGCACAAGUUGGAAGACCCAAUAGUUUUCUAACUUCGCUUCUGGUGAAGCAACGGAGUUGGAACAAGCAGAUAUAUUAUAAUUGGGUCACCGGAAAGCCAAAAAGGUAACGCACAACUUCGAAGACCCAGUAGUUUUCUAACUUCGCUUCUGGUGAAGCAAC